UACAGAGGUCUCAAGCGUUGUUCGGAUUCAUUGGGCGUAAAGGGUGCGUAGGCGGCGCGGUAAGUCGGGUGUGAAAUCUCGGGGCUUAACUCCGAAACUGCAUUCGAUACUGCCGUGCUUGAGGACUGGAGAGGAGACUGGAAUUUACGGUGUAGCGGUGAAAUGCGUAGAUAUCGUAAGGAAGACCAGUGGCGAAGGCGGGUCUCUGGACGGUUCCUGACGCUGAGGCACGAAGGUCAGGGGAGCAAACGGG
rnacentral:rRNA from 1 species